UGCCCUAGUAACGGCGAGUGAAGCGGCAACAGCUCAAAUUUGAAAUCUGGCUUCGGCCCGAGUUGUAAUUUGCAGAGGAUGUUUAUGGUGCGGUACCUUCCGAGUUCCCUGGAACGGGACGCCACAGAGGGUGAGAGCCCCGUCUGGUUGGAUACUAAACCUGUGUUAAACUCCUUCAACGAGUCGAGUAGUUUGGGAAUGCUGCUCUAAAUGGGAGGUAAAUCUCUUCUAAAGCUAAAUACUGGCCAGAGACCGAUAGCGCACAAGUAGAGUGAUCGAAAGAUGAAAAGCACCUUGAAAAGGGGGUUAAACAGUACGUGAAAUUGUUGAAAGGGAAGCGUUUAUGACCAGACUUGUGUCGUGUGGCUCAUCCGAGGUUCUCCCCGGUGCACUCCACGCGGCUCAGGCCAACAUCGGUUCUUGUUGGAGGAUAAGAACAGUAGGAACGUAGCUCUCCUUCGGGGGAGUGUUAUAGCCUAUUGUACGAUACUCUGACGGGGACCGAGGACCGCGCUUCGGCUAGGAUGUUGGCGUAAUGGUCAUUAGCGACCCGUCUUGAAACACGGACCAAGGAGUCGUCCAUUAGAGCGAGCGUUUGGGUGUAAAACCCGCACGCGUAAUGAAAGUGAAAUUAGGUGAGAGCUUCGGCGCAUCAUCGACCGAUCCUGAAGUUUACGGAUGGAUUUGAGUAAGAGUUUUAACGGACGGACCCGAAAGACAGUGAACUAUGCUUGAAUAGGGUGAAGCCAGAGGAAACUCUGGUGGAGGCUCGCAGCGGUUCUGACGUGCAAAUCGAUCGUCAAAUUUGAGCAUGGGGGCGAAAGACUAAUCGAACUGUCUAGUAGCUGGUUACC
rnacentral:rRNA from 1 species